rnacentral:rRNA from 1 species
AUACGUAGGUGACAAGCGUUAUCCGGAUUUACUGGGUGUAAAGGGCGUGUAGGCGGUUUGGCAAGUCAGAAGUGAAAUUCCCGGGCUUAACUUGGGCGCUGCUUCUGAAACUGCAGGACUUGAGUGCUGGAGGGGAUAGCGGAAUUCCUAGUGGAGCGGUAAAAUGCGCAGAUAUUAGGAAGAACACCGGUGGCGAAGGCGGCUAUCUGGACAGUAACUUACGCUGAGGCGCGAAAGCGUGGGGAGCAAACAGGAUUAGAUACCCUGGUAGUCCACGCUGUAAACGAUGAUUACUAGAUGUUGGGGACUAUGAGUCUUCGGUGUCGCAGCUAACGCAAUAAGUAAUCCACCUGGGGAGUACGUUCGCAAGAAUGAAACUCAAAUGAAUUGACGGGG